ACACCUCAACUCUCACAGUUUGCCGUGACGAGCUUGGACUUUGGGGGUUUUGCUGGCCUAUGGUUGGCUCCUCUCAAACAAAUCAGCUUGCCAGUGUUUUGGCGGCAUCAUGGGUGUGAUAACUAUCUAUGCUCGCGAUUGUCUGCCAAGUGACCUUCAGUGAUGGAGGUUCGCUGAAGCUUACAAACAUCUCUCCUCAGCGAAGACAGCUUUUUGAAC
rnacentral:misc_RNA from 1 species